AGGACGAACGCUGGCGGCGUGCUUAACACAUGCAAGUCGAGCGGUGAUCCUCCUUCGGGAGGUGAUCAGCGGCGAACGGGUGAGUAACACGUGGGCAACCUGCCCCUCACACUGGGAUAACCUCGGGAAACCGGGCUAAUACCGGAUACGACCUCGAGCGGCAUCUCUUGAGGUGGAAAGCUUCGACGGUGAGGGAUGGGCCCGCGGCCUAUCAGCUUGUUGGUGGGGUAAUGGCCUACCAAGGCGACGACGGGUA
rnacentral:rRNA from 1 species